rnacentral:rRNA from 1 species
GACGAACGCUGGCGGCGUGCUUAACACAUGCAAGUCGUACGGUAAGGCCCUUUCGGGGGUACACGAGUGGCGAACGGGUGAGUAACACGUGAGUAACCUGCCCACAACUUUGGGAUAACGCUAGGAAACUGGUGCUAAUACUGGAUAUGUGCUCCUGCUGCAUGGUGGGGGUUGGAAAGCUCCGGCGGUUGUGGAUGGACUCGCGGCCUAUCAGCUUGUUGGUGGGGUAGUGGCCUACCAAGGCGGCGACGGGGAGCCGGCCUGAGAGGGUGAGCGGCCACAUUGGGACUGAGAGACGGCCCAGACUCCUACGGGAGGCAGCAGUGGGGAAUAUUGCACAAUGGGCGCAAGCCUGAUGCAGCAACGCCGCGUGCGGGAUGACGGCCUUCGGGUUGUAAACCGCUUUCAGCAGGGACGAAGCUUUUUGUGACGGUACCUGCAGAAGAAGCACCGGCUAACUACGUG